CAUACUCACCAUGAACCGGAUCGUGCCCUUAUGGCUUUGAUCCCGGAUUAUGCCCUUCCGGCUUGGAUCCUCGUUUCUCAUUGGGGGAUCCCUUUGUUUAGAACGUAUGUCCUUUGUCUCAAACUGAAUGAGAAUGAAUUCAUAAUCCCUGGACGUCCUCCCCUUUAUAUAGAGAACCAAAGGUCAUGUGCGAAGAGUCACAUCCCUUCGAAGCAUCCUUUUGGGACAGAUCUUGGCCAUCGAUUACAAUCAACGGUCCAGAUCGUACCUGUUCAGAAAUAGAAGGUUUCAGACCUUAUAGGCACGUCCAACCCAAGCCAAGACCUGGUACCCAAGCCCACGGCCUGCCCACAAG
rnacentral:lncRNA from 1 species